rnacentral:lncRNA from 1 species
CCCCUCAACAUGAUCACGAGAAACACCAACACAAUGCAUAAAGCAUAAAGGUAGAGUCCAAGAUUUCAGUUCUGAUAUACAAGCCUCCCAAAAGCACAAAAGCUAAUAACACAAUCCAACAAGCCACCAAACAACAAAGAGCAGACAUAAAANAAAGAGGCCAGUCAAACCAACAACAGAAACUCCCCAUUUUUGUCACAACAAUGACAACAAAAUCAUUCUUCAGAACUUGCUGCGUCUUCAUCUUCCUAUUCCGGGUCAGAAGAAGGACUGUCAUCCGGUGAACCAUGCUUAAGAUCAGCUAACAGAGUUUCAAGGGCUACCUUGCGCUUGAGAUCCCGAGCAAUGUUUGCAGAGAUAUGAUGAAUUUCACGUUCAAUUGCUUUAAUCACACGAGUAGACUGAAUAGAGGGAGAAGAACUGUGAGAAUGUUCAGAUGAUUGUGAACCGGACCCCGAGUUGGGAUGAUCAGCGUCGGCAGAAGAGCCAGAGUAAUCCGUGAGAUGGCCAUCGGACUCCAUCGAUACAGAGAAGGUGAGACGUUUCUGAUCGGAAGAUAAGAGAAUGGAAC